GAUGAACGCUGGCGGCGUGCCUAAUACAUGCAAGUCGAGCGAACAGACGAGGAGCUUACUCCUCUGACGUUAGCGGCGGACGGGUGAGUAACACGUGGAUAACCUACCUAUAAGACUGGGAUAACUUCGGGAAACCGGAGCUAAUACCGGAUAACAUGUUGAACCGCAUGGUUCAACAGUGAAAGACGGUCUUGCUGUCACUUAUAGAUGGAUCCGCGUCGCAUUAGCUAGUUGGUAAGGUAACGGCUUACCAAGGCAACGAUGCGUAGCCGACCUGAGAGGGUGAUCGGCCACACUGGAACUGAGACACGGUCCAGACUCCUACGGGAGGCAGCAGUAGGGAAUCUUCCGCAAUGGGCGAAAGCCUGACGGAGCAACGCCGCGUGAGUGAAGAAGGUCUUCGGAUCGUAAAACUCUGUUAUUAGGGAAGAACAAAUGUGUAAGUAACUAUGCACGUCUUGACGGUACCUAAUCAGAAAGCCACGGCUAACUACGUG
rnacentral:rRNA from 1 species